GCACUGAAUCGACCCCAGUUGGUCCAGAAUGCCGCUGCUAGGCUGCUGACUAGAUCCCGCUGAAGGGAUCAUAUAACCCCCAUGUUGGCCAUGCUUCACUGGCUACCAGUUAAAUUCAGGAUCAAUUUUAAAAUCAUGGUGACGACUUACAAGGCAUUACAUGGUCAGGCUCCUGCAUACAUUAGUGAACUGCUGUCUCCAUACUCCACCGGUAGGCCUCUUAGGUUUUCGGACCAAGGACUGCUGGCUAUCCCUCGGUCUAAACGGAAGACGAAGGGUGAUCGUGCUUUUGCCACUUUGGCGCCUAGGUUAUGGAACAGCCUUCCCAUUGAUUUCAGAUAUGCAAACACUGUGGACACUUUUAAGCGGUGUCUAAAGACUUAUUUGUUCAGACAGGCUUUUAAUUGGUGCCCAAAUUGCUUUAUGCUGUUGUUUUUACCGAUGUGUGUGUAUGUGUGUGUGUAUACAUUUGCUGCUUUUAUUUGCACCUUGUGAAGCAUUUUGUGGCCCUUGUUCUUGAAAAGUGCUAUAUAAAUAAAGUUUACUUAUUUACUUAAUCGUGAUUAAGGAAGAAGGUAUAAGCAGGGUCAGACUUAGAUGUUUAAAGUUUGUAAUCAGCAUGGGUGUGCCUCUUGAAGACUUAGACAGAUGUAUCUAAAGUUCCAGAAAGCAGAAAGGCUAGAUUUGGAAUGUAUGUGGCACAACUUGAAUUCAAACAAGGUAAUCAAAUCACAGAUGAGGUGUUGGUUUUUACUGCUGAUCUGCUAGCGAUAAUUUGGCUGCUAUGGCGGAUGAAGAAAGCGAGACCUGGCAGUGUCAUUCUGCUUCAGCUUCUGUCUUGUUGGCUUUGAUGAGCCGUAAAUCAGAAGCACGUCAGAUCUAGUGAACAAGAUUCUGAUGUAUUUAUCCACACUACAGAAUACUUUGGUAUGUGGGAUGGGAAACAGUAAAAUGUUCAGUGUUAGUUCAACUCGUAACAGAGUACAUAUGGUGCUACUAUGCAACCAAGCAGGACCAUAUAUCCUCUGUCAGAGUUGAAUGUUUUACUGUGUUCUGUUGGUUCCGGGACAUUCUGGGCUUGAGGGAAAUUGACAGGUGGUACAUCUUCGCAGAAUAUCAGAAUCAUAUCAAGAGGGAAUUAUAAGGCCCAUGGCAGGAGAUAUGGGAAAAUUAUGAAAGAGGGAGGCUUUAGCCUACCUUUCAAUUCAAGAAUCCAUCCAAAAAUUUAAAUAUCUAUGACAGGAGAAAGGAUCAAUGUAAUUAAACUAACAACAUUAAGACUGGGGCACUGUGGGUAAAUCGAUGGUUAAACAUGGUAGGGAAGCGCCCAGAUCGGUUAUGUGAUUUGCAUGCCUGAGUUGAACAUAUUAUAACAUUUAAGAAUUACCAGAAGUAGAAGAGGAUAUUAUUCAAAGAUGUUUCAGAAUUAUGAGUUCGAAACAAAAAAAAUCAGCAACAAAUUUAAAGGAAAGUUGUGAAUUUUUUGGAAGUUUUUUAUUAACCAGCGGAGGGCAGUAUAGGCCUCGAACCAUUGACAUUACCGAAAAUUGUAAAAGAAGACAAAGAAGACGUCAUUGUGUUUUGUCAACGCGCUUGCGUAUAAGAACCUUUUACUUGAAAAAGAACGGAGUCUCGAAUGGAGCUGUUGCCACUGCUGAAGACCCAUCAGCCAUUGCAACUAACCAGUCAGCAACUACCUUCUCUUCGGAGCAACCAAUCAAAUAUCUGUGAAAGACUGAGGGAGCUGGGGGGCAGAUACUGUCAAGGAGCUGAACCCUCCCACUACACAGAUGGAUGUUGAGAAAUGGAGUACUGACACAUGCAAACGGCUUCAAAACAUAGACCUUAUUGACGGCAAAGAGACUUUGUUCUUAUUUUAUGCUGUACUGUACUAUUGCACUGUUAAAUCUGAAUAAAUUGAAAUGUUUUUCCCCUGA